UUGCGUAGGCGGUCCGAUAGAUUUUACUUAAAAGGCCAAGGCUCAACCUUGGUUUUGGGUAAAAUAUCAUCGGACUUGAAAGUUCGAGAGGGUACUGGAACCGAUCAUGGAGCAGUGAAAUGCGUUGAUAUGAUCGGGAACACCAAAGGCGUAGGCAGGUACCUAGCGAAUUUUUGACGCUCAGGCACGAAAGCAUGGGGAGCGAAGCAGAUUAGAGACCUGCGUAGUCCAUGCCGUAAACUUUGUCCGCUAGAUGGUCGAGUUUUUGACUGUCGCAAGGUAACCCGUUAAGCGGACCGCCUGGGGAGUACGAGCGCAAGCUUAAA
rnacentral:rRNA from 1 species